rnacentral:lncRNA from 1 species
UUUUUUUUUGUGGCCCAAUCAGCAACCUGGAGUACUGGAACCCUUCUGUUGAUGUGCUAGACUAUGUUGACUCUGGCACUUUCUCCUAUGCAUUCCUUGAACAACACUUGCUUUGGUUGGGAUAUCCUGUGAGUGAACACAUCAUUUAUUGGUGCAAACCAAAUAAACCAAUCUCAGAUGGUUUGAUCAGAAUUAGCAAUGAUGAGGAUGUGCAGCAUAUGAUCAGAGCUAGUGCUGAGCAUAAGAUGCUUGUAGUCAUGGUUGACCAUACAGAUUUCAUCAGUAACUUCAGGUCUGACUUUGUGUGCACAUUGCCUCUAUCUUUGAUAACAACAACAACUUUUGCAGCAGUAAGUGCAUUCUCUUCCCAUAGCCUAGUUUCAGUCUUUGUGGAAGAUCCCUUGUCAGAGAUUGCAGCAAAUGGAACAGACCCACAGAGUUCACUGACUGAGGGUGCUGAGCACAACAUGCUAACUAAAGAUGGACAAAUAGUUAUUGAAGAUGUAGUUGUUUCAGAUUCUAAUUUUAGUGACAGUGACUAUGAUAUAGAUGAUGGUGAUAAUGAUCUUUAUGAUGACAACAUUGACUUUGAUGUUGAUGAAUAAGUUGAGCAGGAGGAGGAUGAUGUGGAGCCUGACUAUUUGCUUGAGGAUGAAGAUCUGAACCUAUCAACUGAGCAAGCAGAUGAACUUAGGUACAAGUUUAAAGCUUUCAAUGCAAAGGUGGACAUGAUUUCCCCUUUGUUUAAAGUAGGGAUGGUAUUUGCUGAUGUGAUUGAGCUAAGACAUGCAUUGACUGCAUAUUCAGUUAGAAACAGAGUGCAGAUUAAGAAGAUAAAGAAUGACAAGAGGAGACUUGAGGCAGUUUGUGAAAAUGGUUGCCCAUGGUACCUGUUUGCUGGCAAUGACAACAGGACAGGGGGAUUUGACAUCAAGACUUACUAUGGAGAACAUAUAUGCCAAAAGAAAUGGAAGUUAAGGUCACUGACAACAAAAUUCCUGUGCAAGUAUUUCAUAGAUGAGUUCAGAGAUAACCAGAAUAUGUCACUAGGUACAUUUCAAGAAAGAUCACCAAGGAAUUUCAUGUCACCCCUAACAGAUGGAAGCUAGCUAGGGCAAGAACAGCAGCACUUAAGGAGAUCCAUGGUGAUGAAGAAGAGCAGUUUAGUAGGCUUUGGGAUUAUGGGCAUGAAUUGAGGAAUACCAUCCCUGGGUCUACAUUUCUUCUGUCAACUGAGGUUGUUAAAGACAACGAUUUCCCACUAGGUAGGAAAUGUCUGAAAACUCUAUAUUGGUCUUAUGAUGCAUGUAAAAGGGGGUGGCUCAAGGGAUGCAAGCCUAUUAUUUUCAUUCAUGGUUGUCACAUGAAAACUAGGUUUAAAGGAGUGUUGCUUAGUGUAGUAGGUAUUGAUCAUAAUGACUGCAUUUUCCCCAUUGCAAUGGGUUGGGUAGAAGCAAAGUACACAAGUGUUGGGGAUCGUUGCAGAAAUUAAAAAAAUUCUACGCAUCACCAAGAUCAAUCUAUGGAGUGACUAGCAACGAGAGAGAGGGGAGUGCAUCUUCAUACCCUUGAAGACCGCGAGACGGAAGCAUUACAAGAAUGCGGAUGAGGGAGUCGUACUCGAAGCGAUUCAGAUCGCGGUAGAUUCCGAUCUUAGCGCCGAACAACGGCACCUCCGUGUUCAACACACGUGCAUCCCGGUGACGUCUCCCGCGCCUUGAUCCAGCAAGGAGGAGGGAGAGGUUGAGGAAGAGGGCUCCAACAGCAGCACGACGGCGUGGUGGUGAUGGAGUGGCAGUACUCUGGCAGGGCUUUGCCAAGCUCUUGCGGAGGAGGAGAGGUGUUGGGGAGGGGAGGAGCUGCGCCUUGGAUGUGGUGCUGCAUCCCUCCCCUCGCCCCUCUAUUUAUAGGAGAAGGGGGAAGGGGGGACGGCCCCCUCUAGAUGUGAUCUAGAGGGGGGGCCAAGGGGAGGGGGCUUGCCCCCCAAGCAAAGGGGGCGCCCCCUUUAGGGUUCCCCCCCCCCAACCCUAGGCGCAUGGACCCAAGGGGGGGCGCCCAGCCCUCCAAGGGCUGGUUCCCUUCCCUCUACAGCCCAUGAGGCCCUCCGGGAGAGGUGGUGAAAGGAUCGAUAUAGUUGACUAGAGGGGGGGUGAAUAGGCAGCUAACAAUUUUUAAUCUUUUCUUUACCAAUUUAAACUUUGCAACAAGGUAGGUUGUCUAGAUAUGCAACUAUGUGAGCAACCUAUAUGAUGCAAUAACAACUAGCACAUAAGCAAGCAAGGGAUACAACACAAAUAAGCUUGCACAAGUAAAGGCACGAGAUAACCAAGAGUGGAGCCGGUGGAGACGAGGAUGUGUUACCGAAGUUCCUUCCUUUUAAGGGGAAGUGCGUCUCCGUUAGAGCGGUGUGGAGGCACAAUGCUCCCCAAGAAGCCACUAGGGCCACCGUAAUCUCCUCACGCCCUCAAACAAUGCGAGAUGCCGUGAUUCCACUAUUUGUGCCCUUGAAGGCGGCGACCGAACCUUUACAAACAAGGUUGGGGCAAUCUCCACAACUUAAUUGGAAGCUCCCAACGACACCACAAAGCUUCACCACAAUGCACUAUGGCUCCGAGGUGACCUCAAUCGUCUAGGGUGCUCAAACACCCAAGAGUAACAAGAUCCGCUAGGGAUUAGUGGGGGGAAUCAAAUUUCUCUUGGUGGAAGUGUAGAUCGGGGCCUUCUAAACCACUCCCGAGCAAAUCAACAAGUUUGAUUGGCUAGGGAGAGAGAUCGGGCGAAAAUAGAGCUUGGAGCAACAAUGGAGCUUUUGGGGGAAGAUGUAGGUCAACUUUGGGGAAGAAGACACCUUUAUAUAGAGGGGCAAACAAUCCAACCGUUACCCUCCCCCCCAAGCAGCCACGCACAGAGCGGUACUACCGCUUGGGCAGGGCGGUACUACCGAUGAACCAGCGGUACUACCGUUCCCUCCCAGCGGUACUGCCGCGCACACGAGGAUAGCAAAGACCUGGGCCCAGAGCGGUACAACCGCGGAAGUAGGGGCAGUACUACCGCUUGGAGCGGUACUACCGCCACUACUUGCGCUACUAGUACCGCAAAACCCGACAUGAAAAACAGAGGUCUCGAGUCGAGGCGGUAGUAGCCCAGAACCACAGUGGUACUACGGCCGAAGACAGCAAGCGGUACUACCGCUUGGGGAGCGGUACUACCGCUUGACGCGCUUCGGCGGUACUACCGCUGAGGACUGCAGUACUACCGCUGGGACAGGUCAGGGCAGGCAAGGAGAGGAAAGGUAGCUCCAAUGAAGCGGAAAGGAACAGCGGGUGUGAUAAGGAUGUGUACAUGUUGAUUCCACCCUAGCCUUACCAAAGCGGAUCCCCUCUUGAUAGUACGGUGACUCCUAUGAAACUAGUCCACCAACAGAGAAACAAAGGAGCUACACCGUCUUGAAUAAAACACCGAGGGGAGGGAAUCAUCUUGUGCCAAAGGAUGAAUCUCUGAAAAGCUCAACGCACACGAUUAGUUCGCAAAAGCAUUGUCAUCAAUCACCAAAACACCUUGGGGAUAAAUAUGCCCUUACAAUCUCCCCCUUUUUGGUGGAUUGAUGACAAUACGGGAUUUGCACAAACGGGGAAAGACAUAAGACAUGCGCAAAACCCCACCAUCCUAAAAUGUAGUUGGGCUCCCCCUAGAUGUGUGCUAUCUAGAUAAGUGCUUUGGACUGCACGGCACACAUACUAGGAUCAACGCUCCCCCUACAUUUUAGAGACCAACAACCUAAGCAGGGUAUAUAAGAGCAGAGUAAAUAACAUGAUAAGCAUGCAACUCAUAAGCUAGGUAGACAUAGAUAAAGAUAAUCUAAAGAUAAGGUAGCAUAUGUCUCACACCAUAGGUCUGGAACUUAGGUCUCACUGACACAAAACCAAACAAAGCAAACGGCGAAAAAACACACCACAAAGAAGACACACUCGCGAAACAGACAACGACGACACAAAUCCCUAAACUCUCUCCCCCUUUGGUAUCGAGACACCAAAAAGAGAGGGAGUGUUGCUACGGCUCCAGGUGAUAGCAAGGUCGCGAACAUCAGAUCUCAGCGGGAUCGUCUUCGCCACCGUCGUCGGUCGGGAACUGCUCGGCAUCAGAAUCUGUCCGCUGGCAAUGCUGCUGAAUCCAGUCCUCCUCCUCAGUAAGCUGGUCCUCAGAUCCACUGAGAACGGUAGCACCCAACUGACGCAUGAGCUCCUUGUGACGACCCCUGGCCUUCUUCUCAACAACAUGAGUCAUGUACUGGCCGUGAGACUCCAUGCAGAACAGCUUCUUUAUCUUGAGCUUGAGCUUCUUUGCCCAAGAGGGCUCUGCCCCAGAAGGCUCAUAGUCAUCAUCAUCCUCAGCCUCAGCCUCCUCCUCGAUCUCCAUGGCAGCAGCAGACGAUGCACCCCUAGACUUAGGGACCUGAGUGCCCCGGUUGUCCUUCUUCCUCAGACACUUGACCUCAUGAGACACCAACUCUCCAGUCUCUAGCAUAACCUUGGGAUAGACACGAUCCCAGGCCUUCUCAAUAAGUAGCAUGAUGAAUGGACCAUAGAUCGGGCACUUACGCUCAGAGAUGGCAGAUAGGAGUUUAGACCACAUAACAUGAGAGAUGUCCAGGGACUCGCCAGAGUUUUCUUCCUUCUCACGCUGGCAGAAGAGAAGCAUGUCCACAAGAUAGGAAUGAACCAUAUCCAGAUUCCCGAUGCGAGGGAAAAGAGUCUCACGGAAGACAUGGUGAAGAAUAUCCAGAAAGGCAGGCAGCUCAUAAGUUUCCUUCUUAGUCUCAGGGUUGAUCUUCAGCGUGCAAUAGGGCCAUAGAGCUUGCUUGAGAGUGGAGGUUGUGUUGCGGUGAGGGCGAAAGCCGACAGGAGACGCAAGCCCGUGAUCUUCCACCCCAAGCAACCCCAUGAACGCCUUCCACUUGACAGAAAGCAACUUGCCAUUGGUCAUCCAAGUGAGUGUCCUGUCCUCAUCAGUCCCGAGAUGAACUGUGGCAUAUAAUUGGGCCACAAUAUCAGCAUCAUAAUCUUUGUUGAAUUGCAUGAUACCGAGAAUGUUCAGUUGAGUGCACAUCUAAAGAGCUUCACCAAAGUACUCAGGAUCCUUCUCCAUAUAGUCGGUGUCGAUGGAGAGCACGUUAGCAUAGAGGUUCUUCUUGGCCUUGAGCACAUCAAAGAAUAUGGCAAACUGAAACCUGUUCCAGAACGGACGGCUGACCAAAGUGGGAUCUUGGUCUGCCUCAUAGGGGUUGCGGCGACGCCUUGCCCAUAACUCCUUGGCAUUCAUCUCCGGCACGGUUUUGCCAGUUUGCUUCGGCUUGACAGCAGACUUCUUCUUGGGUUGAGGUGGAGGUGGAGCACUUGAGGAACCUCCUGCAGACUCAGUUGUGUGGUAACGCUUUGACGUGGCACGACCGGGGUUGAUACGUCGAGCCUGAUGCUCAGGAUGUUCAUCACCUGGAACCACACACAAGAACACGCAAAACAACCAGAAAGAACAAGCAUAAGCCAACAAACACAACAAAAGGAUCACUGAAUGGUAAGAGCACGAUGGAACUUAGUAGCAAGCGGUAGUACCGCGACCUGUAAGCGACAGUACCGCUCUAGAGAGAGCGGUAGUACCGCUCGAGAUGGGGAAACAGCGGUUUCCUACUGCCGUGGUCAGAUCCGGCACUACCGUCCUACCAAAUUCAAAAAUACUUCUACCAACCACUAAUCCAAACCGCCUAGAUGCCUUCUCCAUCCUACUCAAGCCUAGAUUUGGCCAAAAAUCAAGAGAUGCAACCACUAUUGCCCCUAAGAUGCUAGAUUGGAAAUCUAGACAAGAGAGAGGGAAUGGGGGCAAUACCGGCAUCCAUGGCAAGAGGAUGAGGUGGGGAUCGACUCCACCGAAGGGAAUGGAGAGGGACGCCCCGGAGAAGGAGAUCCGCCGGAGCCCUCCCGCGGCGACAAGUUGCUGGAGAGAAGAAACGGAGCGAGGGGGCGAGCGAAUGGGUAUGGGGGAGAAGAAACCUCCCCCUGCCCCCGAUAUAACCCCCUGACCCCGCCCCGCAGCGGUAGUACCGCGCUGGUGGGCGGUAGUACCGCUUAUAAGCGGUAGUACCACGUACCACCAGCGGUAGUACCGCCCAGCAACAAACAGGCCACUAGACAGAACGGCUAAGCUCAAAAAGAAACGAAAAACAAAGGCACGAAGGAGGAAAGACCAACACGGAAGAAAACACACUAGCAAGGGGCCAAAACACACCUCUUCAAGAGAGGGCGGUGGCCGAGGCCACCUAUGUUUGAGUCAAGAGUUAUGGCGUCGCGAAGAUUUUAACCUUGGACCCAUGACCAAAACUCGUCCUUGAAGCACAAGUACCAUCAAAAAUGGUUAAUGUGAAAGACUAGAUCAAUUUAUGCAUAAUGGGGGGAGGGAGAGUUCAUUGAGAGAACAACACUCCCCCUAUGUCCAUGCCUACACCUAAACUAGACAACAAGUUGAGUGAGGUGGGGUGUGCAAGGGUUCAAGUCACAUUGCUUGAAUCAAUGAUAUUUAGCUCAUGCCUUAACUCGCGAAAUCUUGCUUCAUCCAAGGGCUUCGUGAAAAUAUCUGCAAGGUUAUCAUGAGCGUUGACAUACUUAAGCUCGAUCUCCCCUCGCCUAAUGUGAUCCCGGAUGAAGUGAUACCGAAUUUCAAUAUGCUUCGUCUUGAAGUGUUGCACCGGGUUGAGAGAAAUCUUGAUGGCACUUUCAUUAUCACACCAAAGAGGCACUUUAUCACAAAUGACACCGUACUCCUUUAAAGUUUGCCUCAUCCAUAAGAGUUGAGCACAACUACUACCGGCCGCCACAUAUUUCGCUUCGGUGGACGAGAGAGACACACAACUUUGCUUCUUGGAAGACCAACUCACCAAAGAGGACCCAAGAAAUUGGCACCCUCCGAAAGUGGACUUCCUAUCCACUUUGUCUCCCGCCCAAUCGGAAUUCGUAAAACCUUCAAGCUUGAAGUUUGCUCCUCUCGGAUACCAUAGGCCAAAGUUUGGGGUAUGAGCCAAAUAUCGAAAGAUUCGCUUGACCGCCACAUAGUGGCUUUCCUUUGGUGCGGCUUGAAACCAUGCACACAUUCCCACACUCAACAUGAUAUCCGGUCUAGAUGCACAAAGGUAAAGCAAGGAUCCAAUCAUAGAGCGAUAUAACUUUUGAUCCACCGCUUUACCAUUGGGAUCAAUGUCAAGUUGGCACUUGGUAGGCAUUGGAGUAGAAGCCGGCUUGACAUCACUUAGCUUGAAUCUCUUUAGCAUGUCUUGAGUGUAUUUGGCUUGGUUGAUGAAGGUACCUUCUCUUCUUUGUUUGAUAUCAAAACCAAGGAAGAACUUCAACUCUCCCAUCGAAGAAAUCUUGAACUUAGAGGUCAUGGGAGUGGCAAAUUCCUCAUUGAAAGCUUUGUUAGGGGAACCAAAAAUAAUGUCAUCAACAUAUAGUUGGCACACAAACAACUCCCCUUUGACCUUCUUAGUAAAAAGAGUGGGAUUGAUUUUCCCAACUUCAAAUCCACGAUCUUGUAACAACUCGGUAAGGUGGUCAUACCGCGCACGUAGGGCUUGUUUAAGGCCAUAGAGUGCCUUAUCGAGUUGAUACACAUGAUCCUGUAAGUAAGGAUCCUCGAACCCGGGGGGUUGCUUGACAUAAACCAACUCAUUAAUAGGACCAUUAAGAAAAGCACUUUUCACAUCCAUUUGUUGUAACUUAAAGUUGUGAUGGGAAGCAUAAGCAAUCAAUAAACGAAUGGAUUCAAGGCGAGCAGCGGGAGCAAAGGUUUCACCGUAGUCGAUACCCUCGACUGGGAGUAGCCUUGUGCUACCAAUCUUGCCUUGUUGCGAAUGAUGUUCCCAUGAGCGUCUUGCUUGUUCUUGAAAAUCCACUUGGUUCCAAUGACGUUAUGGUUCCCCGACGGCCGUGGCACCAAUCUCCACACCUUGUUGUACUCGAAGUUGUUGAGUUCUUCAUGCAUGGCAUUGAGCCAAUCUGAAUCUUUGAGCGCCUCAUAGACCUUUUGGGGUUCAACACAAGAGACAAACGCGUGAUGUUCACAAUAGUUUGCUAAUUGUCUACGAGUGCUUACCCCCUUUCUUAGACUUCCAACCACAUUCUCCAUGAGAUGGCCUUUGGUGGUGAGCUUGGAAGCAAUCUUCGCGGCACGACGCUCUAAUUCCUCCUCGGAUGUGGAAGGAGGAGGAUCAACUUGAUUAUCUUGAGAGUUGUCUUGAGCUUGUUCAAGAUCUUGAGCUUGCUCUUGAUCUUGAACUUGCUCGAGGGGGAGAACUUGACCUUGGGCAUCAUUUGGUGGUUCACCACCAUCUUGAGGUUGAUCUUGCCCUUGGUAUUGUUCAUGAGGUUGAGGGCAUUCACUUUGUUCUUCGGAAGUGUGUGGGUCUUGGGGAGGUGAUGGAUCCACUUGAGUGGAGCAUUGUCCUUCUCCUUCGGCCACAAGGGGUUCCUGAAUGGGUAGAAUAUGACCAAUACCCAUUCUUCUUAUGGCUUGGGGAGGAAUUUCAUCACCUACAUCACAAGUACCACUUUGCUCCACUUGGGAGCCGUUAUUUUCGUCAAACUCCAUGUUACAUGUCUCCUCAAUGAGUCUGGUGGACUUGUUGAGGACACGGUAAGCAUGAGAGUUUGUAGCAUAACCAACAAAUAUGCCCUCAUAAGCUCUAGCCUCAAAUUUAGACAAAUGAACACCUUUCUUGAGAAUGAAGCACUUACACCUGAACACCUGGAAGUACUAGAGAUUGGGCUUGUUACCGGUGAGUAUUUCAUAAGGAGUCUUGUUCAAGCCUUUGCAGAGAUAGAGCCGAUUUGAUGCAUGACACGCGGUGUUGAUGGCUUCGGCCCAAAAGUUGUAUGGAGACUUGAACUCCGCCAUCAUGGUCCUUGCCGCAUCCAUCAACGUCCGGUUCUUCCUCUCCGCAACACCAUUUUGUUGAGGGGUGUAUGGAGCGGAAUAUUGAUGCUUGAUCCUCCCAUCACUAAGGAACUCAUCCAAGGUGUAGUUAUUGAACUCAGUGCCGUUGUCACUUCUUAUUGUCAAGAUCUUUGCAUCAUGUUGUCAUUGAGCUUCAUUUGCAAAGUCAAUGACGGUUUGUUGAGUUUCACUCUUCCUCUUGAAGAAAAAUACCCAGGUGUAUCUUGAAUAAUCAUCCACAAUCACCAAGCAAUACUUUCUUCCCCCAAGACUAUCAAAGGAUGGAGGCCCAAAGAGGUCCAUGUGAAGGAGCUCCAAGGGUCUCUUCGAAUAGAUGAUAGUCGUGGGAGGGUGAGCCUUCUCAUGAAGCUUUCCUUCGAUACAAGCACUGCAAGCACGAUCUUUGGCAAAACUAACAUUUGUUAGUCCACGGACAUGGUCCCCUUGAGAAGACUUUGCAACGAUCUCAUAUUGACGUGGGCUAAACGGCGAUGCCAAAGCCAUCCCACAUCAACUUUAGCCAUUAGGCAUGUCACGGUCUUAGUGGGUCGCUCCAAAAAGUUAAUCACAUAGAGACCAUUCUCCACAUGCCCAACAAAGGCUAAUUUAAGAGUCUUGCUCCACAAGAGGGCCACAGUAUCAAUAUCAAAGAAGGUGGCAAAGCCCAUGAGUGCAAGUUGACGAACGGAAAGUAAGUUGUACGCAAGGGACUCAACAAGCAUGACUUUCUCGAUCGUUAGAUCAUGAGAAAUGACAACCUUGCCAAGACCCAAUACCUUAGAAUGUGAGGCAUCACCCCACUCGACAUUGGUGGGCAUAGAUGGGGUCUUUUGCACGUCCACCACCAAGUCCUUGCUCCCGGUCAUAUGAUUUGUUGCUCCACUAUCGAGCAACCAUGAUCCCCCACCGGAAGCAAACACCUACAAGAGAUCAAUGCUUGGUUUUAGGUACCCAUUUAGUAAUGGGUCCUUUGAUGUUAGUAACAAGGGUCUUAGGAACCCAAAUAGACCAUUCAAUGUAUUCAUAAUAAGAACCAACAAAUUUAGCAUAAACAUGCCCAUCACUAGCACGGCACAACACAUAAGAAGGGUUAAAGUCGCCGGAUUUGUUGGAAGAGAUGGCUUUGCCCUUUUUGGCAUCACCACUCUUCGCAUUGUUCUUCUUCUCCUUAGGAGCACCCUCUCCCUCCUUCACAAAAGUUUGCUUAAGCGAGGGAGGUCAUUUGGUCUUGUCAUUCUUCUUCUACUUCUUCUUAUUCUUCUUGGACUUGGGUGAGAACCCAACUCCCUCCUUGGCCACAACUUCCUUUUGAUUGCUCAAAAGGUCAUUUAGGUUCUUCUCACCUUGUAUGCAUGACACAAGGCCUUUCUCGAGUUGUUCCUUCAACUUGGCAUUCUCCUCCACAGGAUGCACAUGCUCACAACACGGGUUAGUAGCAUUUGCGUUAUCAAUUAAGACCAUGUGAGGAAAGGUGGACUUUUCCUUGGUUAGCUUAACUUGGAGUUGAGCAUGAGACUCCUUGAGGUUUGCAUGAGCACCCUUCAAGACCUUGUGGGCCUUGUCAAGUACAUCAAACUCCUCCUUGAGUCUAGCAUGAUCAACCCCAAGUUUAGCCUUCUCGGAAGAUAGCACACGAGACACAACAAUAGCAUGAUCAAGAUCUUUCUUUAAUUUGGCAUGGUCAUCGUUUUGUGACUCCUCAAGAGCCAAAUGAUGCCCACGCUCUUCCUCAAGAGCAUUAGAGAGAUCCGAUAUAUCAUCGGCAUAGUCACGACUAUGACCUUCCAUCUUAGAGAUGGUUUCUUCGUGAGCCUCGAUCAUGUCAUUGGCUUCACCAAGUUGUUCCAAGAGAGCAACAAAGUGCUUCUUGGAUUUGCCCUUGAGCUUACUCAUAAAGGACUCAAAUUCAUUUACUUCCUCAUUAGACCCCUCACUAUCAUCAAUGCCAUCUGUCAAAGAGGGAUUAUAAAUGAUGGUGGUUUUGAUGUUGGGGGUUAACUUCUUGGUGGCUUUAGCCAUGAGGCACUUCGCGGUGAUGUUCUCGUUGGGUGAAUCGAAGAGAGACAUCCGGGGAGUUGUGGCAAUGGCAACGGAUGCCAUGGCCAUUGCUUCACUAUCUUCAUCAUCAUCGUCAUCCUCACGGUAUUCCUCUUGAACCACCAACCCUCGAGUAGGAGUCUUCUUGGUGAAGUUUUUCUUGUUGGGGAAAGACUUGGCUUUGUCUUUCCGGAUGAGCUUGCCACCAUUGUCUUCCCGCUUCUCGUAAGGAAAAUCUGCAACGAAAUGGCUCACAUUGCCACAGUUGUAACAAGUUCUAACUCAUUGCUUGCCCUUGAAGCCACUUGAGUUGUUCUUGUUGAAGUUGGGUCUUGAGUUCUUCUUGCUCCAAAAUUGUCUUGAAGCAAGAGCCAUGUGCUUGUGAUAAUCAUAUUUUGUAUCUUCGGGGUUGCUCUCCUCAUCUUCCUCUUCUUCCUCUUCUUCCACAAUAACCUUGGCCUUCAAGGCAAGGUUGGGCUUCUUUGCCCUUUGAGACCAGAGCACCGCGUUAUCGGCGGUCUUGUCCAAGAUGCUCAUUGCAACGAACUCAUCCAAAACUUCACUUGAGGUCAUGGAGUGGAAGUCCGGUAUUUGACGAAUGACGGAGGACAUGGCCUUGUUGUAGGGCAUCAUGGCCUUGAGGAACUUGUGCUUGAUCCAAUUUUCAUCUGUGUCCUUGCUCCCAUGAUCUCGGAGUGAGACCGCAAGUUUGGUUACUCUCCGAAAGAGCUCACGAGGUUCUUCAUCUCCCUUCAUAGCAAACUCAUCGGCUUCAUCUUGCACCACUUCAUAAUUGGAGCGUUGAAUGCUCACACUUCCCCGAUAGAGACACAACACAAUGCCACGCGUCUUUGGCCACAGCGUAGGGUCGAAGAUGAGAGAGAUCUUCGGGGAGAAUUGAUUCUUGGAUGAUGAAGAGAGCAUUCUCAUUGAAUUGAUUAUCCACGGCUUCUCUAGGGGUGAAGUUGCUUGGGUCAUGUGGAUAGAAACCUUCUUCAAUGAUUCUCCAAAGAUUAGUAUUCACAUGCUUUAAAUGACACUUGAAGCAAUACACCCAAGAAUCAAAAUCCUCAUUUUUCUCAAUCUUAGGAGGAGGACCGGCAUGAUUUAAAUGAGUAGAGGGAAUCAGUCCACCAUAAGUUGGAGGUUCCACAUGGGCAUAGAUGUCGGUGCCAUUUCUACCACUAGUAGAAGGACCCUUUUCACUGUUAGCUUCCCCCUUGUCGGAGGUAGCAUCCGUCACCUUGUUAGUGGGAUCACCCACUUUCAUCGGCGAGGUAGACAGUUUAAGUCCUUCUAGGAAUUUAGUAAACAUGCUUUCAACCUCGGUCGUCAUGGAGUUUUUCAAUGUGUCUAAAGCCACAUUGAAUUCCUCACGAGAGAUCGCGGUUCCCCCAUCGGCCGUAGACGAGGUAGGAUUCACACCAGAGUGCUCCUCCACAACGUCUGUGGUGUCAACCAUACUCUUCAGGCGGCAAAGUCCUUAAUAAAGAGAUGAGGCUUUGAUACCAAAGUUCCUUCCUUUUAAGGGGAAGUACGUCUCCGUUAGAGCGGUGUGGAGGCACAAUGCUCCCCAAGAAGCCACUAGGGCCACCGUAAUCUCCUCACGCCCUCACACAAUGCGAGAUGUCGUGAUUCCACUAUUGGUUCCCUUGAAGGUGGCGACUGAACCUUUACAAACAAGGUUGGGGCAAUCUCCACAACUUAAUUGGAGGCUCCCAACGACACCACGAAGCUUCACGACAAUGAACUAUGGCUCCGAGGUGACCUCAACGUCUAGGGUGCUCAAACGCCCAAGAGUAACAAGAUCCGCUAGGGAUUAGUGGGGGGAAUCAAAUUUCUCUUGGUGGAAGUGUAGAUCGGGGCCUUCUCAACCACUCCCGAGCAAAUCAACAAGUUUGAUUGUCUAGGAAGAGAGAUCAGGCAAAAAUGGAGCUUGGAGCAACAAUGGAGCUUUUGGGGGAAGAGGUAAGUCAACUUUGGGGAAGAAGACACCUUUAUAUAGAGGGGGAAACAAUCCAACUGUUACCCCCCCCCCCCAAGCAGACACGCACACAGCGGUACUACCGCUUGGGCAGCGCGGUACUACCGCUGAACCAGUGGUACUACCGUUCCCUCCCAGUGGUACUGCCGUGCACAUGAGGAUAGCAAAGACCUGGGCCCAGAGCGGUACUACCGCAAAGUAGGGUCGGUGCUACCGCUUGGAGCGGUACUACCGCCACUACUGCCGCUACUAGUACCGCAAAACCUGACACGAAAAACAGUGGUCUCGAGUCGAGGCGGUAGUAGCCCAGAACCACAGUGGUACUGCGGCCAAAGACAGCAAGCGGUACUACCGCGUGACACGCUUCGGCGGUACUACCGCUGAGGACCGCGGUACUACCGCUGGGAUAGGUCAGGCCAGGCAAGGAGAGGAAAGGUAGCUCCAAUGAAGCGGAAAGGAACAGUGGGUGUGAUAAGGAUGUGUACGUGUUGAUUCCACCCUAGCCUUACCAAAGCGGAUCCCCUCUUGAUAGUACGGUGACUCCUACGAAACUAGUCCACCAACAGAGAAACGAAGGAGCUACACCGUCUUGAAUAAAACACCGAGGGGAGGGAAUCGUCUUGUGCCAAAGGAUGAAUCUCUGAAAAGCUCAACGCACACAAUUAGUUCGCAAAAGCAUUGUCAUCAAUCACCAAAACACCUUGGGGAUAAAUAUGCCCUUACAGGUGGCCCCUCCCGGUGGACCCCCGGAACCCCUCCGGUGGCCCCGGUACAAUACCGGUAUGCCCCCGAACAUUUCCGGUGACCGUAUGACAACUUCCCAUAUAUAGAUCUUCACCUCCGGGCCACUCCGGAACUCCUCGUGAUGUCCGGGAUCUCAUCCGGGACUCCGAACAACAUUAGGUAAUCACAUACAAGUCUUCCUAAUAACCCUAGCGUCAUCGAACCUUAAGUGUGUAGACCCUACGGGUUCGGGAAUCACGCAGACAUGACCGAGACAGCUCUCUGGCCAAUAACCACCAGCGGGAUCUGGAUACCCAUGUUUGCUCCCACAUGUUCCACGAUGAUCUCAUCGGAUGAACUAUGAUGUCGAGGAUUCAAGUAAUCCCAUAUACAAUUCCCUUUGUCAAUCGGUACGUUACUUGCCCGAGAUUCGAUCGUUGGUAUCCCAAUACCUCGUUCAAUCUCGUUACCGGCAAGUCACUUUACUCGUUACAUAAUGCAUGAUCCCGUGACUAACCACUUAGUCACAUUGAGCUCAUUAUGAUGAUGCAUUACCAAGUGGGCCCAGAGAUACCUCUCUGUCAUACGGAGUGACAAAUUCCAGUCUCGAUUCAUGCCAACCCAACAUACACUUUCGAAGAUACGUGUAGUGCACCUUUAUAGUCACCCAGUUACGUUGUGACGUUUGGUACACCCAAAGCAAUCCUACGGUAUCCGGGAGUUACACAAUAUCAUGGUCUAAGGAACUGAUACUUGACAUUAGAAAAGCUUUAGCAAACGAACUACACGAUCUUUUGCUAUGCUUAGGAUUGGGUCUUGUCCAUCACAUCAUUCUCCUAAUGAUGUGAUCCUGUUAUCAAUGACAUCCAAUGUCCAUAGUCAGAAAACCAUGACCAUCUGUUGAUCAAUGAGCUAGUCAACUAGAGGCUCACUAGGGACAUGUUGUGGUCUAUGUAUUCACACAUGUAUCACGGUUUCCGAUUAAUACAAUUAUAGCAUGAAUAAUAGACAAUUUCAUGAACAAGGAAAUAUAAUAAUAAUCAUCUUAUUAUUGCCUCUAGGGCAUAUUUCCAACAGUCUCCCACUUGCACUAGAGUCAAUAAUCAAGUUACACUGUGAUGAAUCGAACACCCAUAGAGUUCUGGUGUUGAUCAUGUUUUGCUCGUGGAAGAGGUUUAGUCAAGGAUCUGCGACAUUCAGAUCUGUAUGCACUUUGCAAAUAUCUAUGUCUCCAUCUUGAACAUUUUCACGAAUAGAGUUGAAGCGACGCUUGAUGUGCCUAGUCUUCUUGUGAAACCUGGGCUCCUCGGCAAGGGCAAUAGCUCCAGUGUUGUCACAGAAGAGAGUGAUCGGCCCCGACGCAUUGGGAAUAACUCCUAGGUCAGUGAUGAACUCCUUCAUCCAGAUUGCUUCAUGUGUUGCCUCCGAGGCUGCCAUGUACUCCGCUUCACAUGUAGAUCCCACCACGAUGCUUUGCUUGCUGCUGCACCAGCUUACUGCCCCACCAUUCAAAAUAUACACGUAUCCGGUUUGUGACUUGGAGUCAUCCAGAUCUGUGUCGAAGCUAGCAUCGACGUAACCCUUUAUGACGAACUCUUCUUCACCUCCAUAAACGAGAAACAUAUCCUUAGUCCUUUUCAGGUACUUCAGGAUAUUCUUGACCGUUGUCCAGUGUUCCAUGCCGGGAUUACUUUGGUACCUUGCUACCAAACUUACGGCAAGGUUUACAUCAUUUCUGGUACACAGCAUGGCAUACAUAAUAGACCCUAUGGCCGAGGCAUAGGGGAUGACACUCAUCUUUUCUCUAUCUUUUGUUGUGGUCGAGGAUUGAGCCGAGCUCAAUUUCACACGUUGCAACACAGGCAAGAACCCCUUCUUGGACUGAUCCAUAUUGAACUUCUUCAAUAUCUUAUCAAGCUAUGUGCUUUGUGAAAGACCUAUGAGGCGUCUCGAUCUAUCUCUAUAGAUCUUGAUGCCUAAUAUAUAAGCAGCUUCUCCAAGGUCCUUCAUUGAAAAACACUUAUUCAAGUAGGCCUUUAUGCUGUCCAAAAGUUCGAUAUCAUUUCCCAUCAAAAGUAUGUCAUCCACAUAUAAUAUGAGAAAUGCUACAGAGCUCCCACUCACUUUCUUGUAAACGCAGGUUUCUCCAUAAGUCUGCAUAAACCCAAACGCUUUGAUCAUUUCAUCAAAGCGAAUGUUCCAACUCCGAGAUGCUUGCACCAGCCCAUAAAUGGAUCGUUGGAGCUUGCAUACCUUGUUAGCAUUCUUAGGAUCGACAAAACCUUCCGGCUGCAUCAUAUACAAUUCUUCCUUAAGAUAGCUGUUAAGGAAUGUCAUUUUGACGUCCAUUUGCCAUAUCUCAUAAUCAUAGUAUGCGGCAAUUGCUAACAUGAUUCGGACGGACUUCAGCUUCGCUAUGGGAGAGAAAGUCUCAUCGUAGUCAACCCCUUGAACUUGUCGAUAACCCUUAGCGACAAGUCGAGUUUUAUAGAUGGUAACAUUACCAUCCGCGUCUGUCUUCGUCUUAAAGAUCCAUUUAUUUUCUAUCGCUCGCUGAUCAUCGGGCAAGUCUGUCAAAGUCCAUACUUUUUUUCAUACAUGGAUCCUAUCUCGGAUUGCAUGGCUUCAAGCCAUUUUUUGGAAUCUGGGCCCGCCAUCGCUUCUUCAUAGUUCGAAGGUUCACCAUUGUCUAACAACAUGAUUUCCAGGACAGGGUUGACAUACCAUUCUGGUGUGGAAUGUGUCCUUGUGGACCUACGAAGUUCAGUAGUAACUUGAUCCGAAGUACCUUGAUCAUCAUCAUUAACUUCCUCUCUAGUCGGUGCAGGCACCACGGGAACAUCUUCCUGAGUUGCGCUACUUACCGGUUCAAGAGGUAGUACUUCAUCAAGUUCCAUUUUCCUCCCACUUACUUCUUUCAAGAGAAACUCUUUCUCCAUAAAGGACCCGUUCUUGGCAACAAAAAUCUUGCCUUCGGAUCUGAGGUAGAAGGUAUACCCAAUGGUUUCCUUAGGGUAUCCUAUGAAGACGCAUUUUUCCAACUUGGGUUCGAGCUUUUCAGGUUGAAGUUUCUUGACAUAAGCAUCGCAUCCCCAAACUUUUAGAAACGACAGCAUAGGUUUCUUCCCAAACCAUAAUUCAUACGGUGUCUUCUCAAUGGAUUUAGACGAUGCCCUAUUUAAAGUGAAUGUAGCUGUCUCUAAAGCGUCUCCCUAAAAUGAUAGCGGUAAAUCGGUAAGAGACAUCAUAGACCGCACCAUAUCCAAUAGAGUGCGAUUACGAUGUUUGGACACAUCGUUACGCUGAGGUGUUCCGGGCGGCGUGAGUUGUGAAACAAUUCCACAUUUCCUUAAGUGUGUACCAAACUCGUGACUUAAAUAUUCUCCCCCACAAUCUGAUCGUAAGAACUUUAUUUUUCGGUCACAUUGAUUCUCUACCUCAUUCUGAAAUUCCUUGAACUUUUCAAAGCUCUCGGACUUGUGUUUCAUUAAGUAGACAUAUCGAUAUCUACUUAAGUCAUCAGUAAGGGUGAGAACAUAAUGAUAGCCACUGCGAGCCUCAACGCUCAUUGGACCACACACAUCAGUAUGUAUGAUUUCUAAUAAGUUGGUUGCUCGCUCCAUUGUUCCGAAGAACGGAGUCUUGGUCAUUUUGCCCAUGAGGCAUGGUUCGCACGUGUCAAAUGAUUCAUAAUCAAGAGACUCCAAAAGUCCAUCUGCAUGGAGCUUCUUCAUGCGUUUGACACCAAUGUGACCAAGGCAGCAGUGCCACAGGUAUGUAGGACUAUCAUUAUCAAUCUUACAUCUUUUGGUAUUCACACUAUGAAUAUGUGUAACAUCACGUUCGAGAUUCAUUAAGAAUAAACCAUUGACCAGCGGGGCAUGACCAUAAAACAUAUCUCUCAUAUAAAUAGAACAAGCAUUAUUCUCAGAUUUAAAUGAGUAGCCAUCUCGUAUUAAACGAGAUCCAGAUACAAUGUUCAUGCUCAAAGCUGGUACUAAAUAACAAUUAUUGAGGUUUAAAACUAAUCCCGUAGGUAAAUGUAGAGGUAGCAUGCCGACGGCGAUCACAUCGACCUUGGAACCAUUCCCGACGCGCAUCAUUAGCUCGUCCUUCACUAGUCUCCACUUAUUCUGCAUCUCCUGUUUUGAGUUACAAAUAUGAGCAACCGCACUGGUAUCAAAUACCCAGGAGCUACUACGAGUAUUGGUAAGGUACACAUCAAUAACAUGUAUAUCACAUAUACCUUUGGUGUUUCCGGCCUUCUUAUCCGCUAAGUACUUGGGGCAGUUCCGCUUCCAGUGACCGUUUCCCUUGCAAUAAAAGCACUCAAUCUUAGGUUUGGGUCCGUGCUUUGGCUUCUUCCCGGCAACUGGCUUACCGGGCGCGGCAACUCCCUUGCCGUCCUUCUUGAAGUUCUUCUUACCCUUGCCUUUCUUGAAACUAGUGAUUUUAUUGACCAUCAACACUUGAUGUUCCUUUUUGAUUUCUACCUCCGCUGAUUUCAGCAUUGAAAAUACCUCAGGAAUGGUUUUCACCAUCCCCUGCAUAUUGUAGUUCAUCACAAAGCUCUUGUAGCUAGGUGGGAGCGAUUGAAGGAUUCUGUCAAUGACCGCCUCAUCCGGGAGGUUAAUGUCCAGUCGAGACAAGCGGUUGUGCAACCCAGACAUUUUGACUAUGUGCUCGCUGACAGAACUAUUUUCCUCCAUCUUACAACUGUAGAACUUGUCGGAGACUUCAUAUCUCUCGACCCAGGCAUGAGCUUGGAAAACCAUUUUCAGCUCUUGGAACAUCUCAUAUGCUAUGUGCUGCUCGAAACGUUUUUGGAGCCCCGGUUCUAAGCUGUAAAGCAUGCCGCACUGAACGAGGGAGUAAUCAUCAACACGUGACUGUCAGGCGUUCAUAACGUCUGCAUUCGCCGGGACGGGUGCUUCACCUAGCCGUGUUUCUAGGACAUAUGCUCUCUUGGCAGCUAUGAGGAUGAUCCUCAGGUUCUGGACCCAGUCCGUAUAGUUGCUACCAUCUUCUUUCAGCUUGGUUUUCUCUAGGAACGCGUUGAAGUUGAGGUUGACAUGAGAGUGGGCCAUUUGAUCUACAAGACAUUUUGCAAAAGUUUUUGGACUAAGUUCAUGAUAAUUAAGUCCAUCUAAUCAAAUUAUUUAAUGAACUCCCACUCAGAUAGACAUCCCUCUAGUCAUCUAAGUGAUACAUGAUCCGAGUCAACUAGGCCGUGUCCGAUCAUCACGUGAGACGGACUAGUCAUCAUCGGUAAACAUCUUCAUGUUGAUCGUAUCUUCUAUACGACUCAUGUUCAACCUUUCGGUCUCUUGUGUUCCGAGGCCAUGUCUGUACAUGCUAGGCUCGUCAAGUCAACCUAAGUGUUUUGCAUGUGUAAAUCUGGCUUACACCCGUUGUAUGUGAACGUUAGGAUCUAUCACACCCGAUCAUCACAUGGUGCUUCGAAACAACGAACUUUCGCAAUGGUGCACAAUUAGAGGAAACACUUUCUUGAAAUUAUUAUGAAGGAUCAUCUUAUUUACUACCAUCGUUCUAAACAAAUAAGAUGCAAAAACAUGAUAAACAUCACAUGCAAUCAAAUAGUGACAUGAUAUGGCCAAUAUCAUUUUGCUCCUUUUGAUCUCCAUCUUCGGGGCGCCAUGAUCAUCAUCGUCACCGGCAUGACACCAUGAUCUCCAUCAUCGUGUCUCCAUGAAGUUGUCUCGCCAACUAUUACUUCUACUACUAUGGCUAACGGUUUAGGCAAAAAGUAUAGUAAUUACAUGGCAUUAUUCAGUGAAACGCAGGUCAUACAAUAAAUAAAGACAACUCAUAUGGCUCCUGCCGGUUGUCAUACUCAUCGACAUGCAAGUCGUGAUUCCUAUUACAAGAACAUGAUCAAUCUCAUACAUCACAUAUAUUUCAUUCAUCACAUCAUUUUGGCCAUAUCACAUCACAAGGCAUAUGCUACAAAAACAAGUUAGACGUCCUCUAAUUGUUGUUGCAUGUUUUUACGUGGCUGCUAUAGGGUUCUAGCAAGAACGUUUCUUACCUACGCCAAAACCACAACGUGAUAUGCCAAUUUCUAUUUACCCUUCAUAAGGACCCUUUUCAUAGAAUCUGAUCCGACUAAGGUGGGAGAGACAGACACCCCCUAGCCACCUUAUGCAACUAGUGCAUGUCAGUCGGUGGAACAUGUCUCACGUAAGCGUAUGUGUAAGGUCGGUCUGGGCCCUUCAUCCCACGAUGCCGUCGAAACAAGGUAAGACUAGUAGUGGCAAGUAAAUUGACAAAAUCUACGCCCACAACAAACUUGUGUUCUACUCGUGCAUAGAAACUACGCAUAGACCUAGCUCAUGAUGCCACUGUUGGGGAUCAUUGCAGAAAUUAAAAAAAAUCUACGCAUCACCAAGAUCAAUCUAUGGAGUGACUAGCAAUGAGAGAGAGGGGAGUGCAUCUUCAUACCCUUGAAGACCGCGAGACGGAAGUGUUACAAGAACGCGGAUGAGGGAGUCGUACUCGAAGCGAUUCAGAUCGCGGUAGAUUCUGAUAUUAGCGCCGAACAACGGCACCUCCGCGUUCAACACACGUGCAGCCCGGUGACGUCUCCCGCGCCUUGAUCCAGCAAGGAGGAGGGAGAGGUUGAGGAAGAGGGCUCCAACAGCAGCACGACGGCGUAGUGGUGAUGGAGUGGCAGUACUCCGGCAGGGCUUCGCCAAGCUCUUGCGAAGGAGGAGAGGUGUUGGGGAGGGGAGGGGUUGUGCCUUGGAUGUGGUGCUGCAGCCCUCCCCUCGCCCCUCUAUUUAUAGGAGAAGGGGGGAGGUAGGCCGGCCCCCUCUAGAUGAGAUCUAGAGGGGGGCAAGGGGAGGGGGCUUGCCCCACAAGCAAAGGGGGCGCCCCCUUUAGCCCCCCCCCCCCAACCCUAGGCGCAUGGGCCCAAAGGGGGGGUGCCCAGCCCUCCAAGGGCUGGUUCCCUUCCCUCUACAGCCCAUGAGGCUCCGGGAGAGGUGGCCCCUCCCGGUGGACCCUCGGAACCCCUCCGGUGGCCCCGGCACAAUACCGGUAUGCCCUCGAACAUUUCCGGUGACCGUAUGACAACUUCCCAUAUAUAAAUCUUCACCUCCGGACCAUUCCGGAACUCCUCAUGAUGUCCGGGAUCUCAUUCGGGACUCCGAAAAACAUUCGGUAAUCACAUACAAGUCUUCCUAAUAACCCUAGUGUCAUCGAACCUUAAGUGUGUAGACCCUACGGGUUCGGUAAUCACGCAGACAUGACCGAGACAACUCUCUGGCCAAUAACCAACAACGGGAUCUGGAUACCCAUGUUGGCUCCCACAUGUUCCAUGAUGAUCUCAUCGGAUGAACCACGAUGUCGAGGAUUCAAGUAAACACGUAUACAAUUCUCUUUGUCAAUCGGUACGUUACUUGCCCGAGAUUCGAUCGUCGGUAUCCCAAUACCUCGUUCAAUCUCGUUACUGACAAGUCACUUUACUCAUUACAUAAUGCAUAUCCCGUGACUAACCACUUAGUCACAUUGAGCUCAUUAUGAUGAUGCAUUACCGAGUGGGCCCAGAGAUACCUCUCCGUCAUACGGAGUGACAAAUUCCAGUCUCGAUUCAUGCCAACCCAACAGACACUUUCGGAGAUACCUGUAGUGCACCUUUAUAGUCACCCAGUUACGUUGUGACGUUUGGUACACCCAAAGCAAUCCUACAGUAUCCGGGAGUUACACAAUCUCAUGGUCUAAGGAACUGAUACUUGACAUUAGAAAAGCUUUAGCAAACGAACUACACGAUCUUGUGCUAUGCUUAGGAUUGGGUCUUGUCCAUCACAUCAUUCUCCUAAUGAUGUGAUCCCGUUAUCAAUGACAUCUAAUGUCCAUAGUCAGAAAACCAUGACCAUCUGUUGAUCAACGAGCUAGUCAACUAGAGGCUCACUAGGACAUGUUGUGGUCUAUGUAUUCACACAUGUAUCACGGUUUCCGAUUAAUACAAUUAUAGCAUGAAUAAUAGACAAUUAUCAUGAACAAGGAAAUAUAAUAAUAAUCAUUUUAUUAUUGCCUCUAGGGCAUAUUUCCAACAACAAGUUCUUGGGAGUGGUUUCUCACUACAUUGAGAGAUGACCUUAACAUCACAAAUACUACUCCUUUCACUAUUAUGAGUGACAAGCAGAACUGUUUGAUCAAUGAUGUGCAAAAAAUCUGGCCAGAUGCUGAGCAUAGGUUUUGUGUUAGGCAUAUUUAUCAGAAUUUCAAUAAGAAGCACAAAUGAGAGUUGCUGAAGCAAGAUAUGUGGGUCAUUGCAAGAGCACCAAACAGGGUGAAGUGGAUCCAAAACUAUGAGAAAAUGGAUGGACAUAGUGCAGUUGCCUUCCACUUGACUGAAAGACUUGAUCCAAAGACAUGGUGUAAAGCAUUUUCUAGUGUCUUUUCCAAGUGUGAUAUUCUGUUGAACAAUAACUCUGAAGUAUUUAACAGGUAAAUCAUUUGCAACAGUUUGUGAAGUACGUACCUCUUCCUAUGCAUUAAUUUUGUUAUAUUGUUGCAACAUUCUAUGACAUGAUACUAAUCAGUAAUGGUGCAACAUUUGUUGCAACUACAUUCUGGAGGACAGAGAGAUGGCAGUAUUGUCAAUGCUGGAAUACAUUUUUUACAAGAUCAUGCAAAGGCUAGUGAGUAAACAGAGAGAGGCCAUAGAGAAGUGGGCAGGGCAGAGAAUAUGCCCAAAGAUCAAGAAGAAACUAGACAAGAACACUGAGUUUGCUACUAAUUGCCAUGUCUUAGAAGCUGUCCAACAAUUGUUUAGAGUUCAGUCUGGUAACUCUAGUUAUACAGUUGACUUGUGCUUGCACACUUGUGACUGCAGGAGAUGGCAGCUGUCUGGAGUACCAUGUGGCCAUAGUAUAGCAUGCUGCAGGGAGGAGAGAAUUGACCCCGAGACAAUGGUUCAUGACUGCUACACUUUGGAGAAUUAUCUAAAAGCAUAUGGAUACACUCUGGUUCCACUUAGAGAUCCAAAGCAUUGGGAGAAACAGAAUGGUUACAAAGUAUAUCCACCAGUUUUCACUAAACGGUUGGGAAGGCCAAAGAAAAACAAGAAGAAAACACCAGAAGAGAAGAGAAGUAAGAAUGGUGUUAGAUAUUUGAACAAAAAAAGGUGUGACAAUGCACUGCUCAAUUUGUGGCAGAGCUGACCACAACAGGAAGGGGCACUACAGAUUGUAGGAAGCACUAAUUGCAGAAGAUAGAGCUUGUUGAUGAGAACUAUGAUGACCCAACAUUCUUCAGUUAUGCUUCAGUUGCAUCUUAUUUUUUAUAGUUGGCUCUACUGCAUGAAAUGUGGUUAAUUGCCUAAAUUUAGCUUUUCUUUUCUUUGCAGAACAUCUUUCCGAACAGGCCAGAUCCUAGGUUGGAUCCUAGUGAGUCACCAACCAGUAUGGUUCUAACAUGGCCAGCAGGGAAAGAGCAAGAAGAGCACCUCAAAGGGUCCAUGGCCCACUGCCUGAGCUCUCUUCAUUUGUUGUUGCUGUUGGGGCUGAAAUAGGAUAACCCAGGGUCACUACAGAAAUGAAUAUUGCUAGGCAGACAAGGGCAAGAACUGAAGCUGACAGUGGAAGAGGAAAGAAAAGGAGAGGCAGAGGAGAGGGAAAUCCAAGUGCAAGAAGAGGAAGGGGAGCAAGUGCAGUCUCAGCUCCAGGAAGAGGUGCCAGUGCAGAUGCAGCUCCAGGAAGAGGGAGAGGAGCAAAUGCAGAAGCUGGGAGAGGGAGAGGUGCAAAUGAUGGCAGGCGACGAGGCCGGGAACGGUGGUGGCGCCGGCGAUGGCGGGGGUGGAGGGCGGAGGGAGGGCGGGGCAAGAGGAAAUUGGUUGUGUCCCCGACGGGCGGGGCGGGGGGACAAAGGCACGUGUGUCCGUUUGGACACAAACACGGUCUGAAAUGGGUUGAAACUGGACUGAAAACGGAUAUUGGUCCAUUUGUUCCCGCGCGUUGGACCGCGUUUUCUAUUGUUUACCCCAAACGAACGCGGCCGAACCAUUUGGGGUCGUGCGUUGGAGUUGGCCUGACUGACUUGGUAUCCCAUCGAGACAUUGGAGGCGGGUACGGGGGUCCGGAAACUGCACAUCAAAUACGACUCGCUAGGAUAGGAUGUGCAGCACUGCAACUGCAAGUACUACUGAAAAUCACUAACCCCAAGAACUUGAUGAGUCUUGGCAGCAGCUUUCCAUCGUUUUCCGUUCUUUCCACUCCAGAAGGCACUCGGCAGCAUCUUUGAGAGACCAUCCCAUCCAGACCAAAAGUCACCACCAAACAGUGCCACUCUAUCCGUAACAAUAAUCCACAUUUAUUCGUUUCCUAGGAGUGGACUGUUUUUAUGGCAUGCUGGAAAAGUCAGGGGCCGUCGCCCUCAGAUUCACCUACGACUACGGACUACGGCCGAGGGUCGCUCCUGGGCGGCAACCAACUCGUCCAGAACAGAACCCCAGCGCCAAAGCCUCUCACGAUCAGGUGCUUUUCUUCUACUUUUCCUUUGGUCAAUUCUGAAGGUUCGAAGUUCCAACAUGACUGCGACCCGGGGAUGAUUAAGAAAAUUUACUAGUAACAGAGUAGGGUGAUUAAGAUGGUUUGCUGUGCGUCGCGUCGUGCCGUCGUCGACAGGUGGUGGCAAGUACGUAGUACGUACGUACCACCAGAUGCUAGGAGAUUCCUUUGGUUGCACUUUGUUUUUCUAGACUACUAGAAGACGAUGACGCGUGUCCGUUCUUGCCAGCGGCGUUUUUCUAACCGUGUUCAAUGGCCCGUGUCAGAAUUGUUUUGUUGCGUGGUCAAUGGUCGAAGUAACAGUUCAGAAUUGUUUUGCUGCGUGGUCAAUGGUCGAAACAACAGUUUUUCUACUCUGCUGGAGGAGCACAUAUGUUCCUUUGGUUAAAGAAGAGAGAGUGGCAGGGGGGCUGCCGGAAUGUUCCUGAUGUGGAUGGACAGACAUAAAGGAGAGAUGAGCAUCGUCGUCGACCGUCGUCUUUAAUCUGGAACCCUGAAAAAGCAUCUCGUCAAGCGCGUUCCCAUUGUUUCACAAAGACUUUUCCACCUCCAGAAACCAAGCUAUUUUGUUUUUCCAAGGCGACAUGGGAUGGGAUGGGCGCGCGGGAGACACGAAGAGGAUUUGGCGCCCUGCAAAAUUUGAAGCGUGGUCCUGCACUGCUCCCUCCCUCCGCAACCGAUUCAGAGCGAGCGAGCAGGCGUCCCUCCCGCGAUCUCCCCCGAUCAGCCAUCACAUGGGCGCAGGGGGUCCAGACUCCGGAGGCAACAUGUGACCCGCCACCGUCGUUUACCCGCGAGAACUGGGAUCCUCGACGAUCUGGGGAGGGCACGGCCAAAAUUGCAGGUGGCCCAGCCUACCAGAACCAUUGAAACCCACCCUGACAUCGGUCAGUUCCGUGCACAGCACAAACACGUACGCACGCACGCUGCUAUGCUAGGGUCCUAGCGCUGUCGCGUCCACGAUGAACCAACCAGGAUGCCGGUUUUCGUUGAGCGCUUGCCAUCUACUUCCUCCGUUCCGAAUUACUUGUCGCACGUAUAGAUGUAUUUUAAUUCUAGAUACAUCCAUUUCAGCGACGGGUAAUUUGAAACGGAGGGAGUACCAGGGCCAACAAAUCGUACCGGCUGCUACGACGGGAUUGGGUCAUCUAGACAGCAACUACACUAGAUAUCUUUGAAUCAUAAUCAUCAUCAAGCGUGUACAGAACCACUGGUUUUGCUCUCUCGAUCGAUGGAUCCCAUCCCAACAUGGAUGUACCUCCCAACUGUUAAUCAACAAUGAGAAGCAAUGAUGAGGAGCAGGCAAGUCGCUACGCUCAUCAGGCGAAAUUCAAUUCAGUUUCCCUCCCUGUCAAAACAGUCUCACUCGCCCCGCCGAAAGCCGAAAGCCGUGCCACCCGACCCGGCUCGAGACGGACACACCACGCAGUAGCUUUCAACAACAAAUGGAGCCAUCCAGGGCACCAUGCAUGACCCACACACACAGCCAAACUGGACAUGCCCAUCGGCAACAACUGGAUCCACAGGACAGACACCAGGCAGGUAAACUCACCAAUGGUUUUGGCCAACGAGUUCCGGGCAAUUUGAUCGGGCUGAGUAAUUACAUGGGGACAGCUAAAGAACCAACCUAAUCAGCUAGAACAAUAGCUAGACGAAUCAAGCAAUCGCACAGUCGGGCAUGCAUGCAUUCCAUCCCUAAACACCACCACCACGCAAUCACCCACCACACAACAGACACAGUCAGUCAACAACACCAAGACGACGACGACGACGACAACGAAUCCGAUGUUCGCUAAAAGGAAGAGAUGAGAAAACAGCCGGCUCCGCCGUCGAAGAAGAAGAUAGACAGCAUUCGUCAGGUCUAUGAACGGAAUGAAUGUGGGCUGCAGCGACGAGCACAGCCGGCUCCUUUCUCUUGGGCCAUUUGAGAUCAC